GACGAACGCUGGCGGCGUGCCUAAUACAUGCAAGUCGAGCGAAUCAAUAGGAGCUUGCUCCUGUUGGUUAGCGGCGGACGGGUGAGUAACACGUGGGCAACCUGCCUGUAAGACUGGGAUAACACCGGGAAACCGGUGCUAAUACCGGAUAAUCCUUUUCCUCUCAUGAGGAAAAGCUGAAAGUCGGUUUCGGCUGACACUUACAGAUGGGCCCGCGGCGCAUUAGCGAGUUGGUGAGGUAACGGCUCACCAAGGCGACGAUGCGUAGCCGACCUGAGAGGGUGAUCGGCCACACUGGGACUGAGACACGGCCCAGACUCCUACGGGAGGCAGCAGUAGGGAAUCUUCCACAAUGGACGAAAGUCUGAUGGAGCAACGCCGCGUGAGCGAUGAAGGCCUUCGGGUCGUAAAGCUCUGUUGUUAGGGAAGAACAAGUACCGGAGUAACUGCCGGUACCUUGACGGUACCUAACCAGAAAGCCACGGCUAACUACGUGCCAGCCGCCGCGGUAAGAC
rnacentral:rRNA from 1 species